UUGGAAGAAAAUCCAAUAUGGCGCGUGCUUAUCAAGUAAGAAGUUUCGAUAGUUUGUUAAAAUCUCGAAUAAAGAAUGCUCAAAUGAGACAAAAUAUUUAUAAAAACUUGCUUACUCGUUUGGUUCAGGAUGAAAGAGUUGUUACAACACUUGCAAAGUGCAAAGACUUAUCAAGAGUGGCAGAAAGGGUAUGUAUAAACUAGCUGUGUAAGAUACAGUAUACGACAAAAUUUAAUACAGUUUCGACAAACCUAUUGUAACCUAUGCCCUAUGGAUAACUAGAUAACCCAGUGUGAGUAUUGUGUGAUCAAUAUGUAAUACAAUGCAACUAGCCGCUGUAGACAGGAAAGCUUUGUCCGCUGUAAAGUGACUAUAAAUAGAGGUGUUCAUCGGAUCGGAUUGGACGUUUUUAAUGAUCUGACAAUUGGCUAAUGUUUAAAUUCCGAUCCGAAAUUGUCUAAUCUGAAUCCGAUCCGAGUUUUAAAUGAUAAAGAAUUCCGAUCUGAUCUGAAGAAUCCUUUAAUUAAUAAAAUAAAUUUCUCAUUCAAGUCAAGUGGAAAUAUUUAACCAAAUAUUUUGAAUAUCGAAGUCCAAUCUGACUACGAAACAACUUUAUCGAUCCAAUCCAAAAUGAAUAUAUUUUUCUUCUGAAAUCUGAACGAAUUCGAUUCGGAUUUGCACACCUCUAAAAGUGACCCACAAUCAGGCAUUUAAUAAUAGUUUAAAGUCAUUUUAAUUUCCAAUUUCUCAUAUGGCCAGGCUAAUUUCCACUCCGGAAAAUAAGCAGCGGACCGGAUUAGAGGUUUAAUUUUCCAACAAGUGAUUUUCAGUGCAAGGACAAGUGGAAUGAUUGGAUCAGGAAAAGGAGAAAAUGGAGCUUGUUCCAGUCUCACAUCCUCUAUUUUGUAAAUUUUAUACAG
rnacentral:lncRNA from 1 species